GACAUCCCGGAGACCCUUAGGAAACUAGGGGUGCUUCCAUCUGGAAGAAUCUGGAGACAGGUGCUGCAUGGCUGUCGUCAGCUCGUGUCGUGAGAUGUUGGGUUAAGUCCCGCAACGAGCGCAACCCUUGCCUUUAGUUGCCAGCAGUUCGGCUGGGCACUCUAAAGGGACUGCCGGUGUUAAACCGGAGGAAGGUGGGGAUGACGUCAAGUCCUCAUGGCCUUUAUGACCAGGGCUACACACGUACUACAAUGGCCGAUACAAAGGGCAGCGACACUGCGAGGUGAAGCCAAUCCCGUAAAAUCGGUCUCAGUCCGGAUUGGAGUCUGCAACUCGACUCCAUGAAGUUGGAAUCGCUAGUAAUCGUGGAUCAGCAUGCCACGGUGAAUACGUUCCCGGGCCUU
rnacentral:rRNA from 1 species